GACGAACGCUGGCGGCGUGCUUAACACAUGCAAGUCGAACGGAAAGGCCCUGCUUUUGUGGGGUGCUCGAGUGGCGAACGGGUGAGUAACACGUGAGUAACCUGCCCUUGACUUUGGGAUAACUUCAGGAAACUGGGGCUAAUACCGGAUAGGAGCUCCUGCUGCAUGGUGGGGGUUGGAAAGUUUCGGCGGUUGGGGAUGGACUCGCGGCUUAUCAGCUUGUUGGUGGGGUAGUGGCUUACCAAGGCUUUGACGGGUAGCCGGCCUGAGAGGGUGACCGGCCACAUUGGGACUGAGAUACGGCCCAGACUCCUACGGGAGGCAGCAGUGGGGAAUAUUGCACAAUGGGCGGAAGCCUGAUGCAGCAACGCCGCGUGCGGGAUGACGGCCUUGGGUUGUAAACCGCUUUCGCCUGUGACGAAGCGUGAGUGACGGUAAUGGGUAAAGAAGCACCGGCUAACUACGUG
rnacentral:rRNA from 1 species